rnacentral:rRNA from 1 species
CGCUGGCGGCAUGCUUUACACAUGCAAGUCGAACGGCAGCGCGGGGCAACCUGGCGGCGAGUGGCGAACGGGUGAGUAAUAUAUCGGAACGUACCCAGGAGUGGGGGAUAACGUAGCGAAAGUUACGCUAAUACCGCAUACGACCUACGGGUGAAAGUGGGGGAUCGCAAGACCUCAUGCUCAUGGAGCGGCCGAUAUCUGAUUAGCUAGUUGGUGGGGUAAAGGCUCACCAAGGCAACGAUCAGUAGCUGGUCUGAGAGGACGACCAGCCACACUGGAACUGAGACACGGUCCAGACUCCUACGGGAGGCAGCAGUGGGGAAUUUUGGACAAUGGGGGCAACCCUGAUCCAGCAAUGCCGCGUGAGUGAAGAAGGCCUUCGGGUUGUAAAGCUCUUUUGUCAGGGAAGAAACGACUCCUUCUAAUACAGGGGGUUAAUGACGGUACCUGAAGAAUAAGCACCGGCU